rnacentral:rRNA from 1 species
GGUAGCAUAAUCACUUGUUUCUUAAUUAGAGGCUGGAAUGAAGGAGGCGACGAAAGCUAGACUAUCAAGAUUUUAGUGUAAGUUGACAAUCGGGUUAAAAGGCCCGGGUGAACCGGGGGGACGACAAGACCCUAUAAAACUUUACUUUUAGCGCGGGGCUAAGCGGGAGUGGCUUUUGUGCCUAAUGGUUUUGCUGGGGCGGCGCAGAUACAAACAAUUUGAGGUUUAAUAUGUUAAAUAAUGAGGCAGAACUCGUAGAGAAAUAGAAUAAGUUACUUUAGGGAUAACAGCGUAAUUGCCCUAGAGAGUCCUUAUCGACAGGGCAG